UAAAAAACUUGGUUUCCGCCCCGCCCCUCCCUUCUUGCUGCAUGGCCAUCGGUGACCAGCACUGGAUAAAAUAACAACAAAGCAAGUAAUUAGCAAACACAGGCAAAGCAAAUGGAGGUGCUCAAAGUCUGGAGCCUGUCGUCUAAUCCACUUAGGCAUUUUCUCCACUUAGCCACUUCUACUACCACCUCACGAACCUAUUCAGCCUUAGUCCUCCGCUGCUCCGCCACCACUAGGCUCGCCGGCCGGAAUCGUAGGUCCUCCUCUUCCUCUUCUUCCUCCACUUCAGACCGAGAAGCUGUUCGCGCCAUUCGGCUUAAAAAGGUUGAAGAACUGAGGAGCAAAGGCCUUGAGCCUUAUGCCUAUAAGUGGGAUAGGACUCACACUGCUAAUCAGUUACAAGAGAUAUACAGGCAUUUAGCCAAUGGUGAAGAGACGAAUGAUGCGAGUGAUAAUGUGUCAAUAGCAGGAAGAAUUGUUGCUCGUAGAGCAUUUGGAAAGCUCGCCUUUCUUACACUAAGAGAUGACUCUGGGACCAUUCAGCUUUAUUGCGAGAAGGAAAGGCUCUUAAAUGAUCAGUUUGAGCAGUUGAAGACUCUUGUUGAUAUUGGUGAUAUAUUGGGUGCUAGUGGCUCAAUGAAACGGACAGAGAAAGGUGAGCUUUCAGUUUGUGUUAAUUCUUUCUCCAUUCUUACAAAGUCCCUACUUCCACUGCCGGACAAAUAUCAUGGCCUGACUGAUGUAGAUAAGCGUUAUCGCCAACGGUAUGUUGACAUGAUUGCGAAUCCUGGAGUAGCUGAUGUGUUUCGUAAAAGAGCUAAGAUUGUUUCAGAGAUUCGCAAGACUGUGGAAUCAUUAGGUUUUGUGGAAGUUGAAACUCCAGUUCUACAGGGAGCAGCUGGUGGAGCAGAAGCUAGGCCAUUUAUAACAUAUCAUAAUUCGCUUGGCAGGGAUCUUUUUCUAAGAAUUGCAACUGAGCUUCACUUAAAGAGAAUGCUGGUUGGGGGAUUUGAGAAAGUAUAUGAAAUUGGCAGAAUAUUCAGAAAUGAGGGCAUUUCAACUCGUCAUAAUCCAGAGUUUACCACUAUAGAGAUGUAUGAAGCAUUUUCAGACUACCAAAGCAUGAUGAACAUGGCAGAAGAAAUUGUCACUCGCUGUGCUCUUGCUGUUCAUGGGAAGCUUACUAUUGAUUAUCAGGGGGUUGAGAUUUGUCUAGAGCGGCCUUGGAGAAGGGAAACCAUGCACAAUCUAGUAAAAGAGGCCACUGGAAUUGAUUUCAGUAAACUCAGUAAUGAUCUUAAAGUUGCUAGAGAAGCUACCUUGAGAACAGUUGGACAUGGGCUUGAGAAUAAAGAUAAAUCUGCCAUAGAAGCGUGCCCUUCUAUUGGCCACCUCCUCAAUGAGGUUUUUGAAAUUGUUGUAGAGCCGAACCUCUUGCAACCCACUUUUGUUUUAGAUUAUCCAAUUGAGAUAUCUCCUCUAGCCAAACCACAUCGAAGGCAUGCAGGCUUGACUGAGAGAUUUGAACUCUUCAUCUGUGGUCGUGAACUGGCAAAUGCAUUUUCUGAAUUGACUGAUCCCGUUGAUCAGAGAGGACGCUUGGAAGAGCAAGUGAGACAACAUAAUCAGAAAAGAGCAGCGGCUAUUUCAGAAGUAGAUCAUGUAGAAGAGAAAAAACAUGAACAUGAUGAUUCAUAUGAAGUGACACUUGAUGAUGACUUUUUAACGGCUCUGGAGUAUGGAAUGCCUCCUGCUUCAGGAAUGGAAUUGUAAGCCUUGAAUUGGUGGAUAAAGCGAUUGAAGGGAGUUGAGUCAAUGUUUCACAUAGAAAAGGAGAAUGAUGGGACUUGGAAUUGACAGGCUGGUGAUGCUAUUGACAAACUCUCCUAGCAUAAGAGAUGUUAUUGCUUUUCCUGUGCUCAAGGUUGAGCAGUAGGCUUGCAACAAAAGCUGGUGGAUUUGCUUACAUUCUGUGUUAGUAGUUAUAUACUGUCAAUUGUCAAAGAAAAUAAUGUUCUCAUUCUUUUUUUUCACCCCUUUUCUUUCUAUUUGGGGUUGGGAAAGCACUGGUGGGAUAUAGCUUCCUUCUACAUAAAAUCGAAAUUUUGAUUCAGGUCUUUUGUUUUUCUUUAGAUUUGAGAAAAUACAGUAGGCCUGUUAAAGUUAGGUUGACCCUGGCAUUUUUGGAGGUCUCAAUUGUAUGAUUAGAUCUGGAAUCUGAGAGAAUUUUUCCCCAAUGGCCCGUUUUGUUGAUGUUGGAACUUCUUGUAAAAUCUCUCCAUCAGAAUUUCUGCUUAUAUCGAAAAGCAACUGAACUUUCCUUCAAGAGUUAUGUUUUCUUGAAAAUGUAGUCUCAGUGGUGCACAGAAACUCCUAACCGUGAGCGUUUCUGCGUUUCUGAAGCAUUUCUGCCUAUCAUGUAAAAUUAUAUUUUAAAUGCAACAUAGUGUAGUCUUCUUUUGCUUGAAGAUGAGUUUGGAUGAUCACUUAAUCAGAUGGAGAGAGAUUUUUUUA